UGGGCGAAGAACUAUCUGGCCUGAGUGUCAAAGAUCUACAAAAUCUAGAAAGCAAGUUGGAAAUGAGCUUGAAAGGUGUCCGUGUAGAAAAGGAAAAGAUUUUAAGGGAUGAAAUUACGGAACUAAGACAGAAGGGGAAUCAUAUGCAUCAAGAAAAUGUGGAACUAUACAAGAAAUUAGAUAUGAUUCACAAGGAAAAUGCAGAACUGCAAAUGAAGGU